UGCCUACACAUGCAAGUCGAACGAAGGCUUCGGCCUUAGUGGCGCACGGGUGAGUAACACGUGGGAACCUGCCUUUCGGUUCGGGAUAACGUCUGGAAACGGACGCUAACACCGGAUACGUCCCCCAGAGAGAUUUGGGCGGAGAAAGUUUACGCCGAGAGAGGGGCCCGCGUCCGAUUAGGUAGGUGGUGGGGUAAUGGCCCACCAAGCCGACGAUCGGUAGCUGGUCUGAGAGGAUGAUCAGCCACACUGGGACUGAGACACGGCCCAGACUCCUACGGGAGGCAGCAGUGGGGAAUAUUGGACAAUGGGGGCAACCCUGAUCCAGCAAUGCCGCGUGAGUGAUGAAGGCCUUAGGGUUGUAAAGCUCUUUCACACGCGACGAUGAUGACGGUAGCGUGAGAAGAAGCCCCGGCUAACUUCGUGCCAUCAGCCGCGGUAAUACGAAGGGGGCGAGCGUUGUUCGGAAUUACUGGGCGUAAAGGGCGCGUAGGCGGACCGAUCAGUCAGAUGUGAAAGCCCCGGGCUCAACCUGGGAACUGCAUUUGAUACUGUCGGGCUUGAUUUCCGGAGAGGAUGGUGGAAUUCCCAGUGUAGAGGUGAAAUUCGUAGAUAUUGGGAAGAACACCGGUGGCUAAGGCGGCCAUCUGGACGGCACUGACGCUGAGGCGCGAAAGCGGGGGAGCAACCGGAUAGAUACCCUGGUAGCCACGCCGUAACCAUGAUGCUACACGCUGGGUGGAUGCACUUCGGG
rnacentral:rRNA from 1 species